rnacentral:rRNA from 1 species
UCGAGGGGCAGCGGGGGUAGCGAUACCCGCCGGCGACCGGCGCACGGGUGAGUAACGCGUAUGCAACUUGCCUAUCAGAGGGGGAUAACCCGGCGAAAGUCGGACUAAUACCGCAUGAAGCAGGGGCCCCGCAUGGGGAUAUUUGCUAAAGAUUCAUCGCUGAUAGAUAGGCAUGCGUUCCAUUAGGCAGUUGGCGGGGUAACGGCCCACCAAACCGACGAUGGAUAGGGGUUCUGAGAGGAAGGUCCCCCACAUUGGUACUGAGACACGGACCAAACUCCUACGGGAGGCAGCAGUGAGGAAUAUUGGUCAAUGGGCGUAAGCCUGAACCAGCCAAGUCGCGUGAGGGAUGAAGGUUCUAUGGAUCGUAAACCUCUUUUAUAAGGGAAUAAAGUGCGGGACGUGUCCCGUUUUGUAUGUACCUUAUGAAUAAGGAUCGGCUAACUCCGUGCCAGCAGCCGCGGUAAUACGGAGGAUCCGAGCGUUAUCCGGAUUUAUUGGGUUUAAAGGGUGCGUAGGCGGCUUUUUAAGUCAGCGGUGAAAGUCUGUGGCUCAACCAUAGAAUUGCCGUUGAAACUGGGGGGCUUGAGUAUGUUUGAGGCAGGCGGAAUGCGUGGUGUAGCGGUGAAAUGCAUAGAUAUCACGC